rnacentral:lncRNA from 1 species
CCAGGGGUAAGUGUAAACAGCACUGGUUUGCAGACUAUCCUUUAAGUAGCACUGUUCAAAGAGAUCACGUCUUAGCUGCAGAUGGAGAAUUGAUUGGAAGCGGAUUGAAUGUGGGCAGAGAUCAGUAGCGAGGCUAUUUCUCUGAUCCAGGCAUGUGACAGUGGGUAGGCCGACGGAGAAGUGGCAAUGGAGACAGAAAUUUUGGAGGUAAAAGCCACAGAUUUGGUGAAGGGGAGGAGUCAAGGGGAAAGAUAGGAAUUAAGAUGCCUCCCAGGUUUCUGGCUUGAGCAGCUGGGUUGGGUGAUGGUGAUAUUGACUGAAAUCUGGACUGGAGAAGAUAAUGUUUGAGAGAGGGCCAUGAGUUCAGUACUGAGCUAAGUUUGAGGUUCCUUGGGGCCUCCAGUAGGAGAUGUCCAAAAGGCGACCAGUUUUGGAGCUGGUUGUGGUCUUUAACUGAGAAGAGA